rnacentral:rRNA from 1 species
UGGGGAAUUUUGGACAAUGGGCGCAAGCCUGAUCCAGCCAUGCCGCGUGCAGGAUGAAGGCCUUCGGGUUGUAAACUGCUUUUGUACGGAACGAAAAGGUGCCUUCUAAUAAAGGGCGCUCAUGACGGUACCGUAAGAAUAAGCACCGGCUAACUACGUGCCAGCAGCCGCGGUAAUACGUAGGGUGCGAGCGUUAAUCGGAAUUACUGGGCGUAAAGCGUGCGCAGGCGGUUUUGUAAGACAGAGGUGAAAUCCCCGGGCUCAACCUGGGAACUGCCUUUGUGACUGCAAGGCUGGAGUGCGGCAGAGGGGGAUGGAAUUCCGCGUGUAGCAGUGAAAUGCGUAGAUAUGAGGAGGAACACCGAUGGCGAAGGCAAUCCCCUGAGCCUGCACUGACGCUCAUGCACGAAAGCGUGG